rnacentral:rRNA from 1 species
ACUCAAAUGAAUAGACGGGGGCCCGCACAAGCGGCGGAGCAUGCGGAUUAAUUCGAUGCAACGCGAAGAACCUUACCUGGGUUUGACAUAUGCCGGAAGCAUUCAGAGAUGGGUGUGCCUUUUUGGUCGGUUUACAGGUGGUGCAUGGCUGUCGUCAGCUCGUGUCGUGAGAUGUUGGGUUAAGUCCCGCAACGAGCGCAACCCUUGUCCUAUGUUGCCAGCACUUCGGGUGGGAACUCAUGGGAGACUGCCGGGGUCAACUCGGAGGAAGGUGGGGAUGACGUCAAGUCAUCAUGCCCCUUAUGUCCAGGGCUUCACGCAUGCUACAAUGGUUGGUACAGAGGGUUGCGAGCCUGUGAGGGUUAGCGAAUCCCUUAAAGCCAGCCUCAGUUCGGAUUGGGGUCUGCAACUCGACCCCAUGAAGUCGGAGUCGCUAGUAAUCGCAGAUCAGCAUUGCUGCGGUGAAUACGUUCCCGGGCCUUGUACACACCGCCCGU